rnacentral:tRNA from 1 species
UCUAAAAUGGCAGAUUAAUGCGUCAGGUUUAGGAUCUGUUUAUGGGAGUUAUUCUCUUUUAGAA